AUGAAACCCUCUAAGCAAAACCCAUUUCUGCCAUUACAGGUAAGAGUUGACAUUAGUGAGUAGGCACAUCUAUUAGUUGAAGGAGAUCUAGGGCUUAUGAGGACAACGCCACACCUCUAGCUUCAUGAGCAGCCAUUUUUAGGAGUGUUGGGUGACCAAUCACUCUAUCACAGCUGUCAUAUUAGUCUAUAGACCAACACAACAGUGUCAAGGAGCACUAAAACAUUGGCAGCAAACUAGGGCAACGGUAGGUUAAUCACUUCGCCAGCACCAGACCAAAACCAGGGUAUCACGAAACUACUAGAAUAAGUCUACAGACAUCCGAAAAAACAGAUUUGGGUUCUUCCGUUCCCCAGAAAGGCAUCCUCCCUGCAUUACUAAACAUUUGAUCAGGAAGGAGUGGUGCGAUUACACCCAGGUCUGGCUUGAUAGGUGACACCACCCUUUCCAAAAUGCACACAAACUAUUUGUUCAUUAAACUGAAGGAUUUCAUAGUCUUAUCAUUGCUGUUUAAAGCCAUACUUUGGCAACAGUUGAAGGAAAGCUUACGAAUCAGCAACACAAAGUAAUGCAGAUAUUUACACACUGGCUAGUUCCAACAAUUGGCAGAUGCAAUUCAACUGCAAAUAGAUUGAUUUGCAGAGCAAUGGAUCGUUUUUCAAAUUCAAUGUGCCACCAUCCCCUAAUCAUGAUUCUGCGUUAUUUCAAGUUUUGUCCUCUGUUUUCCUAGAUCUUCAUUGUCCUAGGAUAGAAAAAAGUCCUGAAUUUUACUCAUGAGAUGUUGGAGAUUAGUAAUGGUUCAGAACUAUUGUUGUAAGUUGAACUUGUAACCAUAUAGCUCUCCUCUAAUCUUGAAACUGGUUGAUAUAACUGGUAUAUUGUGGGUGUUCUCCUUUCAUUAUAUGGGAAAUUUUUCA